UACGUAGGGGGCUAGCGUUGUCCGGAAUCAUUGGGCGUAAAGAGCGUGUAGGCGGCCCGGUAAGUCCGCUGUGAAAGUCGGGGGCUCAACCCUCGAAUGCCGGUGGAUACUGUCGGGCUAGAGUGCGGAAGAGGCGAGUGGAAUUCCUGGUGUAGCGGUGAAAUGCGUAGAGAUCGGGAAGAACAUCGGUGGCGAAAGCGCUCUACUGGACCGCAACUGACACUCAGGGACGAAAGCUAGGGGAGCGAAUGGG
rnacentral:rRNA from 1 species